CCACCUGCCCCACGCUAAUCUAGUUAAUACCAUUGAUUAGCUAACUCUCAGAAAAUGUAUUUAUUUAUUUUAGGUUUCUUAAUAUGAUAAUGCUGCUUGGUCUGUCUGUGAUAGGUUAAUAUGAUAAUGCUGCUUGGUCUGUCUGUGAUAGGUUAAUAUGAUAAUGCUGCUUGGUCUGUCUGUGAUAGGUUAAUAUGAUAAUGCUGCUUGGUCUGCCUGUGAUAUGUUAAUAUGAUAAUGCUGAUUGGUCUGUCUGUGAUAGGUUAAUAUGAUAAUGCUGCUUGGUCUGUCUGUGAUAGGUUAAUAUGAUAAUGCUGAUUGGUCUGUCUGUGAUAGGUUAAUAUGAUAAUGCUGAUUGGUCUGUCUGUGAUAGGUUAAUAUGAUAAUGCUGAUUGGUCUGUCUGUGAUAGGUUAAUAUGAUAAUGCUGAUUGGUCUGUCUGUGAUAGGUUAAUAUGAUAAUGCUGAUUGGUCUGUCUGUGAUAGGUUAAUAUGAUAAUGCUGAUUGGUCUGUCUGUGAUAGGUUAAUAUGAUAAUGCUGCUUGGUCUGCCUGUGAUAUGUUAAUAUGAUAAUGCUGAUUGGUCUGUCUGUGAUAGGUUAAUAUGAUAAUGCUGCUUGGUCUGUCUGUGAUAGGUUAAUAUGAUAAUGCUGCUGGGUCUGUCUGUGAUAGGUUAAUAUGAUAAUGCUGCUUGGUCUGCCUGUGAAUGGUUAAUAUGAUAAUGCUGAUUGGUCUGCCUGUGAAUGGUUAAUAUGAUAAUGCUGAUUGGUCUGUCUGUGAUAGGUUAAUAUGAUAAUACU